AGAGGUCUACACAUGUGGCUAUAUGCUGAGAUGGUCUGGUUUUAUUACUUGGACUGAAUUUGAUGCUGAUUGGGGAGGUGAGGAGGAGUAUUCUGGUUUAGGUUCAGCCUCCUGCACAGCGCAAUCAUGAUGCAAAGGACAAGAGCAAGACCCAAACUGAGCCUCCCCUCCAACUGCCUCUGCACGUGAUGAAGCACUCAUCGGUAUCGCCUUUAGUUAUUGACUGCUUUGCAAAUUGCUAUUGAGCAAGUGAGGAAGUGAUAAUUGCUGCUUUCGUUCCUUUCCUUGUGAUGGUGCAGGCUGCCACUAAAGAACUGAAGUCCUCAAGGAUUCCGCUUUCUCUCUCUCUUUCUCUUCCUCUUCCUCUCUUUUAAAUUAAAGCAUCAAGUCAUUGCUAAAAAGUACAUUACCAAGUGCAGUUUUGUACAGAAACCUGCGGCAAAAAUCAUAUGACAGCUCCGCAUGCAGACUGAAAGAAAAGAAACGUUCUUGGAAACUCCCAGGGAAAAACCGGAGCCAGUUUAACAAGUCACAGGUGGGAUUUCGUUAAUGGGUGUCAUAAUCGCUGCGUAACUCGUGGCCAAUCUAAAACAAUAGCUGCCCUUCACAGCUGCACCGAGAGCUCUGUGGUUUUUUGCUUUCCUUGCCAGCAUGUGGUUGUGUUGGGGCAUUGCAGCAAUCACCGAACGGUGCUAAUUAAUGAGAGCAAGAUAGGUUUGGUGAGGCUCUUGUACUGAUGCGUGGUGUUGUUGGUUCACAAGAGCUUAAACCCAAGGGACUUUUGGAUCCAUCUUCGUGUUUGAGUGUGUUCUUGCGCAGCAUUAAAGUGGCUCAACCUUCGGGUGGAUGGGUCUGAGUCCUGCAGCAAAAUCCCUCCUCCGAGGUUGAACGGACUCAGUCCCAGCGAGCUGCAGGGCAGGAAGCGCUGCUUCCUGAGCUUGGAAGGAAUGUAUUUCAGAUUUGCCCGGCUCUUAGUGGGAUUUAGCUGCUGUUCAGUGCUUUGUCGCCAGGAGCUUCAGAGGAACGCAGACACCAGCACUGGGUGCCAGGGCUGGUCAAGGAAUCAGGCAGCAAAGUCCUGUGUGCACCUUCCAGUGACUGCACCUCAUCUCUGGUCUGGAAUAGCACGUCACAAAGUGGUCUCACUGCACAGGGACAUCCAUGUUUCAAUGAGGAGCAUUCAUCCAUCGUGGCUACUGGAAGGAUCAUAGAAUCACCAAGGUUGGAAAAGAUCAUCCAGUCCAACCAUGCACCUACCACCCCUAUUUCCCCAUUGAAUCGUGUCCCUUAGUACCAAAUCUAAAUGUUUCUUGAGCACUUCCAGGGUCUUUGACUCCACCACCUUCCUGUGAAGCCCAUUCCAGUGCCUGGACACUCUUUUGGAGAAGAAAUUGUUCCUAAAAUCCAACCUGAACAUUCCCUGCCACAACUUAAGGCCAUUCCAUCUCAUCCUAUCACUAAUGCAGAAGGAGAAGUGGGGUUGGUUUAAGCUUGUGCACCAGCAAAUUGUGAACCAGAGCUGAGCAUUUUUGUGGUUGAUGGGAUGGGAACCCAAAAGAAACCAACCUGAGUUGUAGCUGCUAACUGGUGUUCCCAGGGCUGCCUUUUUAACUGCAAGCACAGCUCAAUGCAAUGCAGAGGCAUUCCUAGAGCUCAUUAAUAAAGUAGUGGAGAGAUCGUUAAAGCA
rnacentral:lncRNA from 1 species